rnacentral:rRNA from 1 species
GACGAACGCUGGCGGCGUGCUUAACACAUGCAAGUCGAACGGUUAAGCGCCUUCCUUUUUGGUUGGUGUGGAUGAGUGGCGAACGGGUGAGUAACACGUGAGUAACCUGCCCCCUUCUUCUGGAUAACCGCAUGAAAGUGUGUCUAAUACGGGAUAUUCUGGUUCUGUCGCAUGAUGGGUCUGGGAAAGAUAUUGUUUCGGUACUGGCUGGGCUUGGGGCCGAUCAGGUGGUUGGUGGGGUGAUGGCCUACCAAGGCGGUGACGGGUAGCCGGCCUGAGAGGGUGGACGGUCAGAAUGGGAGUGAGACAAGGCCCAGACUGAUACGGGAGGCAGCAGUGGGGAAUAUUGCACAAUGGGCGAGAGCCUGAUGCAGAGACGCGGCGUGAGGGAUGGAGGCCUUCGGGUUGUGAACCUCUUUCGCUAGUGAAGCAGGCCUGCCUGGUUUGUGGGUGGGUUGACGGUAGCUGGAUAAGAAGCGCCGGCUAACUACGUG